AGAGUUUGAUCCUGGCUCAGAGCGAACGCUGGCGGCAGGCCUAACACAUGCAAGUCGAACGAACUCUUCGGAGUUAGUGGCGGACGGGUGAGUAACACGUGGGAACGUGCCUUUUGGUUCGGAAUAACUCAGGGAAACUUGUGCUAAUACCGAAUGUGCCCUUCGGGGGAAAGAUUUAUCGCCAUUAGAGCGGCCCGCGUCUGAUUAGCUAGUUGGUGAGGUAAAGGCUCACCAAGGCGACGAUCAGUAGCUGGUCUGAGAGGAUGAUCAGCCACAUUGGGACCGAGACGCGGCCCAAACUCCUACGGGAGGCAGCAGUGGGGAAUCUUGCGCAAUGGGCGAAAGCCUGACGCAGCCAUGCCGCGUGAAUGAUGAAGGUCUUAGGAUUGUAAAAUUCUUUCACCGGGGACGAUAAUGACGGUACCCGGAGAAGAAGCCCCGGCUAACUUCGUGCCAGCAGCCGCGGUAAUACGAAGGGGGCUAGCGUUGCUCGGAAUUACUGGGCGUAAAGGGAGCGUAGGCGGACAUUUAAGUCAGGGGUGAAAUCCCGGGGCUCAACCUCGGAAUUGCCUUUGAUACUGGGUGUCUUGAGUAUGAGAGAGGUAUGUGGAACUCCGAGUGUAGAGGUGAAGUUCGUAGAUAUUCGGAAGAACACCAGUGGCGAAGGCGACAUACUGGCUCAUUACUGACGCUGAGGCUCGAAAGCGUGGGGAGCAAACAGGAUUAG
rnacentral:rRNA from 1 species